UUAAAGGCUAUGAUGAAGACAGUAGAUUCAGGAUUUUAUUUUUACAGAGAACUGGGUUAGCUGAGAACCAGCAAAAUAUACUGAAUUGAAUAUCACUUCGGAGCUGAAGGCUGAAAGAUUUAUCCUAUUUGGAUUUAUCAAAUAAGUUAUUCCGGUAAUGUGCCGUUAUACAGUAGAGUGUCGUAUAGAUAAAUUUAAAAAAAUAUCUAUGCGGAAUUAGGGUGGUAACGCGAGCAACUCGUCCCUUUG
rnacentral:ncRNA from 1 species